rnacentral:rRNA from 1 species
AUUGAACGCUGGCGGCAUGCCUAACACAUGCAAGUCGAACGAGUGGCGGACGGGUGAGUAAUGUCUGUGAAACUGCUUGAUGGAGGGGGAUAACUACUGGAAACGGUAGCUAUUACCGCAUACCUUUAGAUGUUCCCAGAUGGGAUUAGCUUGUUGGUGGGGUAACGGCUCACCAAGUCGACGAUCCCUAGCUGGUCUGAGAGGGUGACCAGCCACACUGGAACUGAGACACGGUCCAGACUCCUACGGGAGGCAGCAGUAGGGAAUAUUGCACAAUGGGCGAAAGCCUGAUGCAGCCAUGCCGCGUGUAUGAAGAAGGCCUUCGGGUUGUAAAGUACUUUUAGCGGGGAGGCGUUACCCGAAGAGGAAGCAACGGCUAACUCCGUGCCAGCAGCCGCGGUAAUAC